rnacentral:rRNA from 1 species
UACGUAGGGUGCAAGCGUUACUCGGAAUUACUGGGCGUAAAGCGUGCGCAGGCGGUUGUGCAAGACAGAUGUGAAAUCCCCGGGCUUAACCUGGGAACUGCAUUUGUGACUGCACGGCUGGAGUGUGUCAGAGGGGGGUAGAAUUCCACGUGUAGCAGUGAAAUGCGUAGAUAUGUGGAGGAAUACCGAUGGCGAAGGCAGCCCCCUGGGAUAACACUGACGCUCAUGCACGAAAGCGUGGGGAGCAAACAGG